ensembl:lncRNA
UGUGAACAGAGGAAUAACACACAUUUGCAUAAGCAAUAUGUUUUUUGAGGCAGGCCAGUUCCCACUGGGUUGAGAUGUCUUAUACGAACCUUAAGCAAGUCCUGUGUUGUAUUUUUUAGUGGGCUGUUUACAUACAAUGGCAGGCUUUUGGGCAUCGAGAAAUCACUCAAGACCUUAUCUCAAAAUAAGUGUUGCCAUUGUUCUUCUCCUAGUCAUGUUCCAUAUAGCACUAAGACAUAGCAACCAGAAGAGGAUCUAUAAGAGGGAUCUUCUAGCAUCGACAGAAAUCCCAGCGGAGUAUUUUGACCCAGCCUCCAUAGAUCUCACUCCAUUGGUCAACAAAUUAAUUAAUUCAACACAAUUGGGUUCCCGCCAGCUCUUCUCUCUGUUGAGUGUGACCUCCUCACACAGUUCUCUGGCUCUUCACAAGCUCACUCUUCUGGUCUAUAACAGUAAACAACCACAUAAUUUCAACAACUACUUCAACAACUACUGUAGUAACGCCUAUCUCCUUCCCCGCUCGUAGCUCUGAUAUAUCAGUCUGCCCGUUAGAUCGACAGCACGUGUUAUGGGGUGCAGCCUCCUUGCCAGGCAGAUUGAGUUCAGCUUGCCCUUAGAUAGACCAAACAGAAGUUCUUAGGUCAAAGCUCCCUCUUGUGGAUUCUAACAGUAAUUAUUUAAAACAUAGACUUGCUGUUGGACUUCAUGGCAGGCGUUCCCAAAUGUUUGGCUUUCUGACUUGCUGUUAGGGUCUACUGGUAAUAAAACAUACAUUCAAAAAAACUUU